AGAGUUUGAUCCUGGCUCAGAAUCAACGCUGGCGGCGUGCCUCAGACAUGCAAGUCGAACGCGAAAGUUCCCUUCGGGGAGCGAGUAGAGUGGCGCACGGGUGAGUAACACGUAGGUAAUCUACCUUUGGAUGGGGAAUAACAACCGGAAACGGUUGCUAAUACCGCAUAAUGCAGCGGCACCUAAUGGUGACAGUUGUUAAAGCGGGGGAUCGCAAGACCUCGCGUCUAAAGAGGAGCCUGCGGCAGAUUAGCUAGUUGGUAAGGUAAUGGCUUACCAAGGCGAUGAUCUGUAGCCGGCCUGAGAGGGCGGUCGGCCACACUGACACUGACAUACGGGUCAGACUCCUACGGGAGGCAGCAGUCGGGAAUUUUGGGCAAUGGGCGAAAGCCUGACCCAGCAACGCCGCGUGAAGGAUGAAAUCCUUCGGGAUGUAAACUUCGCAAGAACGGGAAGAAUAAGUAAGGGUUAAUAUCUCUUACGAUGACGGUACUGUUUGUAAGCUCCGGCUAACUCCGUGCCAGCAGCCGCGGUAAUACGGGGGGAGCAAGCGUUGUUCGGAUUUACUGGGCGUAAAGGGCGCGUAGGCGGCCACCGCAAGUCAGUUGUGAAAUCUCUGGGCUUAACCCAGAAAGGUCAACUGAUACUGCGGGGCUAGAGUGCAGAAGGGGCAACUGGAAUUCUCGGUGUAGCGGUGAAAUGCGUAGAUAUCGAGAGGAACACCUGCGGCGAAGGCGGGUUGCUGGGCUGACACUGACGCUGAGGCGCGAAAGCUGGGGGAGCGAACGGGAUUAGAUACCCCGGUAGUCCUAGCCUUAAACGAUGAAUGCUUGGUGUCUGGGGUUUUAUAGUCCCCGGGUGCCGUCGCUAACGCUUUAAGCAUUCCGCCUGGGGAGUACGGUCGCAAGACUGAAACUCAAUGAAUUGACGG
rnacentral:rRNA from 1 species